rnacentral:rRNA from 1 species
CCCAGACUCCUACGGGAGGCAGCAGUGGGGAAUAUUGCACAAUGGGGGAAACCCUGAUGCAGCGACGCCGCGUGAGUGAAGAAGUAAUUCGUUAUGUAAAGCUCUAUCAGCAGGGAAGAAAAUGACGGUACCUGAGUAAGAAGCCCCGGCUAACUACGUGCCAGCAGCCGCGGUAAUACGUAGGGGGCAAGCGUUAUCCGGAUUUACUGGGUGUAAAGGGAGCGUAGACGGCAGUGCAAGUCUGGAGUGAAAGGCGGGGGCUCAACCCCCGGACUGCUCUGGAAACUGUACGGCUGGAGUGCAGGAGAGGUAAGUGGAAUUCCUAGUGUAGCGGUGAAAUGCGUAGAUAUUGGGUAGAACACCAGUGGCGAAGGCGACUAUCUGGCUGUACAUUGACGCUGAGGCUCGAAAGCAUGGGGAUCAAACAGGAUUAGAUACCCGUGUAC